AUUGAACGCUAGCGGGAUGCCUUACACAUGCAAGUCGAACGGAGUGGCGAACGGGUGAGUAAUGUAUCGGAAAGUGCCCAGUAGCGGGGGAUAACUACGCGAAAGCGUAGCUAAUACCGCAUACUAUUGGACCGGCCGUUCUCGGAUUAGCCAGUUGGUGGGGUAACGGCUCACCAAGGCGACGGUCCGUAGCUGGGUUGUGAGGACGCCCAGCCACACUGGGACUGAGACACGGCCCAGACUCCAACGGGAGGGAGCAGUGGGGAAUUUUGGACAAUGGGGGAAACCCGGAUCCAGCCAUGCCGCGUGUGCGAGGAAGGCCUGCGGGUGGUAAAGCACUGUUGUCAGGAAAGCGGUACCUGCAGAAUAAGCACCGGCUAACUACGUGCCAGCCGCCGCGGUAAUAC
rnacentral:rRNA from 1 species